rnacentral:lncRNA from 1 species
UGGCUUCCACUAGCUGGUGAACUUUCCAUGCCAAAACUUCACUUGACGCUGCAAAUGAAACAACAAAAAACACAACAUUAAAUGUUGAGCAAGUAAUAAGCAUAAGCAAUGAAACAACUCAUACGAACCUGUUGCAGUCAGUGCUAGGGCUGAUCUUGUAAGGGAUGUUGACACCGCACUUGCCUGGGAGUCCGCUUGCAAUACCAUAGUUGAUGCCAGAAAUGCCGGCGGCCGCACUUUUGAUGCAUUUGCAAGCUGCUUGCCGGUCUGGUGUUGUUUGGGCGGCGGAGUUGAGAGAUUUUAUGCCGCCGCAGCAACCUGGGGGAACGCCACCAGCACCAUUCCCUGUCAAGUAACCAAUGCAGGGUGCGAGGGAGCUUGUGACUUGACCACAGGUUACGGCCCCUUGAGCCAGGGGUGCACCCACCACCAUGCACAACACCGCCACACAUGCAAGCUUAAGGGACAUUGAGCUAGCCAUAUCGAUUAAUCACAAGAAAAACAAACUUGUAAGGAAAAUGCUUGCUUGGAGUAGUAGUACUAUUGCUGAUUGUCGUGGUUAGGGCUUGAGGGUAGGAGGGUUUUUAUAGCCAAAAGUAGUAGCGGGUGAUGUCUGAAUUUUACUUUCCUAGCUAUUAGGUAAGUUGAGAUUAUCCGAUCCAAACAUUAACACACCACAUUAAAAGUUGAGACCAUUCAAUUAGGUUCAACUGCCAACCUACGUGAUUAUUGUUUUCUUUCAAUACAAUUAAAACCAGCGUCCAUUUGAUUUCACUCAAUCAUGCCUCCACAGCUAGGACUCAAAUAUUGGUUUAACUUUUUUCUAGGUGUUUUCUUAUAAACAUGAGAUUUACAUUUGAUGUAUUUAUAAAUGCAUUUAUUGUCAGAAUGAUACCAUUUUAUUAAAAGUAAUUUGAUUUAUAAUUGUUUGUAUAUAUACUUUUAUAUAUUAAGUCUUUAAUUGAAUUGGUAUUACGAUUCACCCAAGCAUCUAUUUAAUUGAAAAUUUGUUAAAAUAUUCAUAUAACAAAUAUUAAUAUUAAUAUAAAUGUAUUUUUAUUUUUAUUAUAAAUAAAACUAUAAUAAGAUUUAAACUUAUGACUCAUAAAUUUUACUCUUUUUAACUUAACUAUUUCAACUAAAAUUUCAUUUAGUUUUAAUAUAAAUUUUUAUAAAUAUAUUAUUUACAUGAAUUUUCCUUUUCCAGGCGGUAUGCCAUGGAACUAAUAUAAAAUAUAAACAAAUGGUUAUUUUGUUAUUUUCAAUGGAAAAAAAAAACUUCACAAGAUUAGGACACAUGCAUGGUUUUUUUAAUAUAUAUAUAUAUAUAUCAUGCAACAUUCUAAAUCUAUUUAUAGAUUAUUUUGUUGAUUGAAUUUUUAUUUUUUUUUAUUUUGGUAAUUAUAUAAAACUAAAUAUUUUCUUCGCGCAAUGUUAAGAGCAGUUUGAAAUUUAAAAGAAGUGUGGAUUCUAAUAAUAAAUUUAGUUAUCUAAUGUUUACAUAUUUUAUUAAUUUGGUCUUAAAUAUAAAAAUUAAAUUCAACAAAAUUAGCCCUCAAUGUUUACAAAAUUUUUCAUUUUAAUUCAAAUUCUAAAAUAAUCCAAUAAAUUUAGCUCUCAACAUUUACAAAAUGAAAGGAUUUGAUUUUUAAAAUUUUAAUUUUUUUUUUUAAAAACCCAAAACACAAACCUAAAUAAACUGAAAAAGAAGAAGGAAUAAUUAUCAUCACCACGAUCUAAUCUCUCAACUUUAAAAUAAGACUUCAACUUCGGUUUAACCCCAAGACAAGGCGAAACAUUGAAAGUAAGUGCAGCGGAUGCCAUUGAUUCUCCUACCUUUUGGCUAAACACAUAAAUUUGAACAACUUCAUACAUAACUAGCAGCAGUACUAAAAAAUCAUUAAUACUAUAUUUUCAAGUACAAGAAAUUGAAAAAAGAAUCACGGGUAGAGUACAAAAAUGAAAUUUGGUGUGAACCUAGAUUAACAAAACAAGGUUCACGGUUUCUCAAAAACACAAUACUAAAUUUUUAGAAUUUCUUGUGAAGAUCAAGCAAUGAGACAAAUACUGAAAUUGGCAAUGCCUUAAUAGCAAAUAAUAAUUCAAACCAAUGUAGAAAAAAGAUGAAGAAGAAGAAGAUAGGAAAAGAAUUUUUAGUUUACAUUAAAAGCCUUGAAAAGGUAGACCGAUAGGAUUGAUUGUUUUGAAUAUUACUCAACUUUCUCAUUAAUUCUUGUACUAUUAUGGCUAAGUGUGUUUUUAGAUGGUAAUGAAUUUUUUUAAUUGUUAAUAAUUUUUACAAUUAUUACACUUGAUUUGGCAGUUGUUUUUCUUUUUAAUUUACAAAAUUUUAAAAAAUUAAAAAUUUCUAUUUUGUAAAUGCUAAGAGCUAAAUUUAUUAUUAUUUAUUUUAGAAUCUAAACUAAAGUGACAAAUUUUGUAAAUAUUUGGUGUUAAAUUUAUUGGAUUUUUAUAUUUAAAAUCAAAUUGAUAGAAUGUGUAAAGAAAGUUAAUUUUUUUAUUAGACAAAUAAAAAAUAACCCAUUUCAACACUUCCGAAAAAUUUUCAAACGGCCGUUAACAUUUAGUGAUGAAAAUAUUUGAUUUCAUAUAGUUUAAUAAUUAAAAUAAAAAUAAUUAAAAAUUUAGUAAUCAAAGUAAAACACAAGUGAUAUUAUUCUAGUGAUCAUUUCUGUACUUGACCCUAAUUUUUUUUUCAAAACACUGUUAAAAAACGAUUAAUUUCUCGUUUUGGCCGGAGUUAAAAUUUUUAAUAUAUUUGUUUUUAUUAAAUUUAAAAAUUAUAAUUUUACAUAAUAUAUUUUUGAUAGAAUACAUAUGAUAUAAUUUUAAUCAGUGACACCUGUUAAAGCUUGUUAGAUCUCCUGUAUCUCUUUCAAUCUGGUGGUAAAUGAAGCAAUCAAUGAGUAUUACAACCAGCCACAUGUCAUUCAAUUCACAUUAUAUCAAUCUUUUCCCUUUUCUCUCAUUUUGGUAGUUAAUUCCUUUUUUUGUCAUCGAAAUUAUAUUUUUUUCUCAAAUUGAUAAUUUCCUUAAUCCGUUAAGUUUGUUAAAAGAAACCUUAAUCUUAUUUAAAUUAUAUCUUUUUUUUUUUAUUUUGAUACUUAAACAUUUUUGUCACAUGUGGUAUGUAAUUUAUUUUUUCUUAAGUUGUUAGUUUAAUUAUUACUCAAAUAGUUAAGUCUAUUUAAAAAAAGAUAACUAUUUAAAAAUUACCAUAUUCGAACUAGCUAGGCCAUUAGUUCCUGGUUUAAUCAGUUUAUCUAGUUUGAUGAAAUCAAUUAUUAAAAAUUCAUAAAAAUAAAAAUGUUAAAAAAUAGAGAAAACUAGCUCAACUAGUUUUUUUUUUAAGCUCGACUCAAUCAAUCUGUAUCAGUUUGUAGGUUAAUCGGUUCAAGCCCUAUCUCCAAACUAGUAUCCCAGUUGGUUCCUAGUAUUAAGGGUGAGCAAAAUUUGAAUCGACUCGAAAAAAUUUAAAAAAGUUCAAAUUUUGAAUUAUUUGAAUCGAGUUAAUCGAAUCAACUCGAUUUUUUUUUAAUUUCAAGUUCGAGUCGAGUUGAGUUUUUGAAUUCAAAUGACUCGAAUAAUUCGAUUAAGCCGAAUACCAAACUAUAAUAUUUUACAUUUUACCUCAAACCCCAAACCCUUUUACUUUUCCCCCAAAACUUUACUCAUUCCUCCUUGUCUGCCCCUGUAACGCCCCAAAUUUUGAAUUGUUACUGUUAGUUUCUAUUUAUAAGUAAGUAUUUGCUUCAGUGGUUAAGUGUUAUGUGUUGGUGUUUGGAUCGGGGGUUCAAGUUACACUUUUAGAGAAUUUUAUUAUUCUUUUGUUUCAACUCUUAUCCUUGAAUGCUUGAAUUAAGUUUGUAUCUGCAUUAAUUUGUGUCAAGAAUGAGUCUUCUAGUUUAAUGGUUAAGUUUUGUAUUACCUAUGGUCUCGUGUUCGAGUCUCUGCGUAGGCAAUAAAGAAAUAUUUUGGCAUGCUAUCGGGAAAUCAGUUUUAUUUUAAUAAUUAUUUUUAUUUAAAACUUAUUUUUAGUUUUUUUUAUUUUGGUUCUUCUCCUUCCUUACUGUUCAUUUCCUUCUUCUUUUUUCUCCUUUUGUAACACCCCUAACUCGAAUCCGUCGCUGGAACAGGGUUAGGAGUAUUAUUGAAGUUUACAAUUUAAACAGGCAGAAAAAUUAAACAUUUCAUAACAUAUAGCAUUCAUGUUAGAAACCAAUCAUAAUUAUGCAUAUUGUCCCUAAUACGAGCCCUCGAGGCCCAAAAUACACCUUAGAAAUAAUUCGGGACUAAAUUGAAAAUUCGGAGCAUUUUUUAGAAACUUAUAAAAUUUUUAAAACUACAGGGGUCACAUGGCCGUGUGGCUAGGUUGUGUGACUCAUAUGGCCAACAGACACGCCCAUGUCUUAGACCGUGCGGGUAUUCGAAAUAGGGACACACGGUCGUGUCCCAGCCAGUGUCCAUGCCCGUGUAACUCACUAACUUGGGCCACACGGUCAAGCCAUACGCCCGUGUGCCAGGCAUUGUGAGCAUACUAACUUGCAUUCUUUAAAAGAUACAGGGGACACACGGCCAUGUCACCUGACCGUGUGUGACACACGCCCGUGUCUCUGCCCGUGUGGACAAAAAUAGGCUAUUUUUCAAGUCAUAAAUAUUCAUGUAUUCUUUAAAAGAUACAGGGGACACACGCCCGUGUCUCUGCCCGUGUCUCUGCCCAAUUUGGUACCAACCUAAACACAACAAUUUGCAUAUAACCAAGUCAUAAAUAGGCAUCCAAAACCAGCCAAAAUCAAGCUUAAAACAUGUAAUAUCAUCACAUACAACCAAUAUGCCCUUAGGCACCUCAAAUGACAACUUAUAAUAUUAAUAUUCAUGUAUUCAAUAUAGCCAAAUGUAUAACUCACUUAUAUGCAUAUUUUCAUCCAAAGUUUAUUAAGCAAAUUUACAUCAUUUCUUACCAAAUUACUUACCUUCCAAAACAUAUUAUUUGGUGCUAAAAUGUAUUUAACAUACUAACAUAUUUAACUUAUAUGCCUUACAUAUCCAGACACCAAUUCAUGAUCAAUUCUUCACAUUCCAAAACACAUAUAUGAAAUGCACAUUAGGUUACCUUUUUACCACUCUUUAUUCAAUCAUGAACCAAACUACAUGUCAACCAUAAUAAGCAAAAUAUGCACAUAUCCAAAAUUCCAUAACACAAACAAAACAAAUGGCUAAUCUCAACAAAACACAUAUAAGCCAACAUUGGCCAAACUAAUCUAUACAUGCCAUUAUAACCGAAAUUAAACAACCGAAUGUACCAAAAGAGCCAAUGGAUAGUGUGAUAUAGCUCCGACAAGCUUUCAACCAGAACGAGCUUUCGAAUCACUAAAAACACAGAAAAUAACACAGAGUAAGCAUUCAAGCUUAGUAAGUUCAUAUAGCAUAUAAUUUAACUUACCAUUUAGUCACAUUUAAGGUAAGCAUACAAAACAUAUCCAAACUCAAUUAGGAUAAAAGCCUCAACACAUAUCCUCAUCAACCAUGUUAGUCAUGUAAUUCAUAUAAAUAUCAAGAAACAUGUAUGAGCUCAACAAUAAUCAAACUUGCAUGUACAUAUAAUUUCCACAUCAUGUAUUUACAUAUCAUGUACAAAUCAUUUUCAUAUAUCUCAUGUAAAUACAUGUAGUAGUUUGUAUUGAACUCAUGUAAUAUCAUAACAGAACAGUGCCCGUUGAACCAUUUAGAUUAUUGUUGGAUACGCGGAUAGUACACAUGAGGUGUACUGAACUGUAAUUCAUCAAUUCAUGUACAUGUAUGCUCAUAUGAGCUAUAAACAGUAAGCUCCUCUGAGAUGAAUAACAAUAAGCUUGUACGAGCUGAAUAUCGGUAAGCUCAUAUGAGCUGAGUAUCGGUAAGCUCAUAAGAGCUGAAAUCGAUAACCCUAAUGACAUGUUUACCAAGCCAUGACAUUCCACUAACACAUUUAACCUUUAAAAUUAUUUCAAUUUACAAGUUUAAGAAAGAACAUAAAAGAUGAUACUUGGCUUUAUUUUACUAAAUUUUGUUAUUUACUUAAUUACUUAUUUAACCUUUAAAAUCAUUUCAAUUUACAAGUUUACUAAGCCAUGACAUUCCACUAACACAUUUAAGGGUUAUUUACCAUAUAAGGACCUCUACUUUAAAUUUUUAUAGCUAUUUAAUACCUUUAGCUAUUAGAACUUUACUUUUACACUUUACGCGAUUUAGUCAUUUUUAUCAAAUUGAACAUGUAAACGGUAAAAUUUCUUAACGAAAUUUUCAUAUGGUAAUAUUAUCAUGUUUUCGACCAUAAAAUAAUAAUAAAAUAAAAUUUUUUACUUCAUAUUUGUGGUCCCAAAACUACUAUUCUGAUUUCACUGAAAAUGGGUUGUUACACCUUUCUUGCUUGAUUGCUUCCGUAAGUUUGCUAUCGUGCUUAAUUGGGCAUUCUGUGUGGUUUCUUACAUUGAUUGCAAGGAUAUUGCGUAAGUUAUGUUGUUGUUUUUUACCUAUUUUUUCUAGACUUCGUCUGUUUCGUCGAGGUUAGAUAUUACUGUUAAUGGUUGUAAAAUCUCGUUAAUAGUUCCAAUGGAUCUUCUUUUAGGAAAAGGUUUCAAAAGUAACAUUUCCCUGUGAGAUUAGGUCCGAAUUGUUGUUGCUUGCUUGUCAGUAAUUGAAAAUUUCUAUUUUGGAUAGCUGCGUCGAAGUUUUCGACGAACGUUAGUUUUGAGUGCUAAUUUUGGCAUUUUGAGUUGAUUUAGUCAUUUAAUUCGUCAAUUAAUUGUCGUUUUAGGUUUCAGAUUCUUGUGUGUUGCUUCUACAUCGAAACUACAUCAAGUGUGUAACGAAAACUCAUUUUUCUAUGAUUUACGAAUGCUAGAAAACAUGGCUGUUAAUCACACGACCGUGUGUUAGGCCAUGUAACUUACUGUUUAUGUAUUAAAGUCACCGAGCCAAGGACGUGGGCGUGUGUCCUAGUCGUGUAACUUACUAUUUGUGGAUUGGAGUCACACAGGCUAGGGACACGUUUGUGUGUCCAGACUGUGUGAAGGAAAUUUUAUGAAUUGAGUCACACAAGCGUGUGCUUGACUAUGUCAUAGACCGUGUAACUCACUUUUUUGAGCCACACGAUCGUGUGCCAGGCCGUGUGAUAGAUCGUGUGCUACACGGGCCAGCCUUCCGGGACAUGUGAAUCCACACAAGUGUGUGGGUCAAAAUUUCAAAUUUUUUAUUAGGGCCGUAAACAUCAUUCCAGUCAAACGUAGGCCUACUGUAGGGUCUGGAUGAUCUGAUUUGGGUUAUAAAACCCAUUGACUAGUUAUCUGUUUCUGUAUAAACUGUUAUUUUAUAUACAUCAUAGAAUUGUAAACUAGAGAGUAGUUGUAUUCUGUAUUAAUUGAGUAUAACCUGAAAUUUGUAACAUCGUAUGCUUAUAUCUGUAUCUGUAACAUUGCAUCUGCAUUGGGGUUGGGAUUGAAUAAGGAGGAAGUUAUGGCAGUUAAAUAAUCUGCUAAGACUGGUGGCUAAGACACGUAAAUGUAUCUAAUUUUGGUGACUUUCGCAUUCUGUCCUAGCAAUUAGUCUGCAACCUUUUGAACGUGACAUAUGGUCACUAUGUGGUGUGUAGGGACGAUACCCUUUUUGGUGUGUAGGGUUGGAUGCAGAUGGUGUGUAAUUGACAUAUUCUACUCUAUUUCCGUAUAUAAUUCUGAGAACUGUUCUAACUUUAAGAAAUUGAAGAUCUAUUUUGUUGUUUCACUUAAUAAUAAUAUAAGUUAUACGCUAUGUAUAACACCCUUUACCCGAGACCGUGGUCGGAGUCGAGCAUGAGGUGUUACUUGACUUAACUUAAAAGUUCAGGGCAUAAAAAUUUACUUUCAAAAUUAAUUUCACCAUUCACAAUAAAGUUGUCCACCUGAGCAGCAGUCACUAAAUUAAUUAUAACUCAAGCUAAGAAACUCGAAAUUUAGAUUCGUAAAUUUUCCCUGAAACUAGACUCAUAUAUCUAUUCACAAAAAUUUUUCAGAAUUUUUUAUUUGACCAAUUAGUACAGUUUAUUAGUUGAAGUCUCCCCAGUUUCACUAAUCGACUAUCCUGACCUCUCGUCACUAAAAUUCAAUUAUCUCAUUAUACAGACUUGACAUGCUGAUUCCACUUAUUUAUACUUAAAAUAUACUCAUUAAGGAAUUUAAAAAUAUAAUUUAUAACUCAUAAUUCUAUUUGUACAAUUUUUAAUGAAUUUCUAAAGUCAGAACAGGGGACUUCAGAAUCAUUCUGACUCUGUCUCACUAAAAUUAAAAUAUCUAAAAGUAUAUAACUCUUUUGCUUACUCUAUUGCUUUCAUGUGAAAGUAGACUCAUUCAGAUUUAAUUUCAUCUCUCGCUAAACAUAUAAUUCUAUUUCUACAAUUUUUGGUAAUUUUUCAAAGUUACAUCAAUGCUGCUGCCCAAAAAUAGUUCCAUUGAAAUUUUUAAAAAAAAAUUCAAUAUAACCCCUUUAUAAUUAUCUAACCUUCCCUGCAAAUUUCAAAUCACAACCAAUUUCAGUAUUUCAACUACUUCACUUAAAUACUAAUGAAGUUCAACUAAUCAACCAUUUCAAACUAAAAACAUGUAUAGUUCAAUGUUUAACACAACCAUCACAUUCAAAUUUAUUCAUUCUAUUACUUUUUACUUCAAUUCCCUAUACAUGUCAUAUAAAUCCAAAAAGUUGUUUAACAAAAUCUACAGGAGUAAAUCUGGAUAGUGUGAUUCUUGGUGUAGAUCUGAUCCUCCGAAUGUAUAAAUACGUCAAUCUACAAGAAUCAAUAAACACACAAUUAAGCGUAUAGAAAGCUUAGUAAGUUCAUAGGCACCAAACAUAAAUCUUACCAAACAUUUAUACACUUAUACAUUAUACACCAUUACUAAGUUUACCUGUCAACCACAAUCUUUGGUGAGUUCCUUGGUAUAAACUCACUACUACUUAUUCUUUUACCAUAAUUCCUUUGGGCCCAUUUGUCACUUACCAUCCUUGAUCAAAAUUAAGGAACGGUUACGGAAAAUUGAGUACUUCACUUUCACUUUGCCAUAGUAUAACUAUGGUCUUACGUAUGAUCAAACAUCACUUGUCCUUGAUAAGAUAAGUGUAGCUAGGCAACCACUUAUCACUUUGUCACUUGAUCAGAUAAGUGCAGCUAAAGCUACCAUUUAUCACUUUAUCACCACUUAUCACUUGUUCUUGAUUAGAUAAGUGUAGCUAAAGUUACCACUUAUCACUUUGUCACCACUUAUCACUUGUUCCUAAUCAGAUAAGUGUAGCUAAAACUACCACUUAUCACUUUGUCACUUGAUCAGAUAAGUGUAGCUAAGCUAUCACUUAUCACUUUGUCACUUGAUCAGAAGUACUCAAAUCCGGUGUUCUGCUCAAUUUGAUCAUUUAUUCAGUUUUCACAUUUUUAUUUUAUUCUCAUUUCAUCAAUAAAUAUAUAUAUUUCAUCAUACAUUAUAUAAUUCAUGAAAUUAACAUUUAAUCAUUAAAUUUUAGCCAUAUGAACUUACCUGGGUUGAUUUGCUGAAUUUGUAAAAGUUUAGGGACUAAUCAGCUACUUUUUUUUUCCUCGACUUGUUUCGGGUUCUCAAUAUGAUUCAAAUAUAUGAAAAACCAACUUGGAGGGACUCUUCAAUGGUGUUUUUUGCUAAAAAAUAUGAGGAAUUGCCUAGAAACACUUUUAGUUAAGAUUUUUAUUUGUUAUUUUUUACAAAAUUUCCAAUUUUGCCCUUAUUACAUCACUUUUUCAAAUUUUUCUUCUCUUAUGUCGUCUCAACUAUUCCAUAUUGGCAUAUUUAUGCCUUAAGUCCCUCCUUAUUUACCACUUAAGCUAUUUAAUCACUUUUAACAAAUUUUACAUUAUUUUCAGUUUAAUCCUUUUUAAUUAAUUAACCACCCAAACGUUAGAAUUUUCUAACGAAAAUUUAAUACCAACUCAAUGACACUCCAUAAAUGUUUCUAAAAAUAUUUAUGGCUCGAUUUAUGAGGUUGAGGUUUCAAUACCUCAUUUUCGAUUCUAAUUAUUUUAAUAUUUAUUCUUAGUACAUUAUUCACUAUUUCAAAAAUUUUCCUAACUUCGCAUUUAACUUAUACUCACUAAAUUAAUAAUAUUUUCUACUCAUUUGUCAAAUUUAAUGAUCUCGAAUUACCAUUCCGACACCACUGAAAAUUCAGGCCAUUACAACUCUCCCCCCAUUUUGGAAAUUUCAUCACCGAAAUUUCGUACCUGAAAAUAAAUUCGGAUACUGAAAUCUCAGCAAUUCCUCUGUUUCCCAGGUUGCCUCCUCAGAUCCAUGUCGAUUCCAUAACACCUUAACUAGUGGUACAUGUUUAUUCCUCAACUCUUUAACCUUCUGAGCUAAAAUUUUCACCGGUUCCUCUGAAUAAGUCAUGUCAGGUUGAAGCUCUAUUUCCGUAUGAGGAAUUACAUGUGAUGGAUCUGAUCUGUACCGUCUCAACAUAGACACAUGAAACACAUUAUGAAUCUUUUCAAGUUCCGGGGGCAAAGCUAAUCUAUAGGUUACCGGACCGAUUCUUUCAAUGAUUUCAUACGGCCCGAUAAAUCGUGGGCUGAGUUUCCCCUUUUUGCUGAACCGCAAAACUUUCUUCCACGGUGACACUUUCAAAAAUACACGAUCACCCACAUUAAACUCUAUAUCCCUUCUCUUCAAAUUUGCAUAUGAUUUUUGCCGAUCGGAGGUAGCUUUUAAACAAUCUCGAAUAAUACGAACUUUUUCUUCAGUUUCCUGAGUCAAUUCCACUCCCACUAGUUUCGAUUCACUUAAUUCAGACCAAUAUAAUGGAGUUCUACACUUUCUUCCAUACAAAGCUUCAAACGGUGCCAUUUUAAUGCUAGUUUGAUAACUAUUAUUAUAAGCAAAUUCGGCUAAAGGUAAAUACCUUUCCCAGCUACCGCCGAACUCAAGUAUACAACACCUUAACAUAUCUUCUAAAAUCUGAAUCACUCGCUCUGACUGCCCAUCUGUCUAGGGAUGAAAAGCUGUGUUGAAAUUUAAUUUGGUGCCUAAAGCUUCCUGUAAUUUACUCUAAAAUCUCGAGGUAAAUCUCGGAUCUUGAUCUGAAAUAAUAGAUGUCGGUACCCCAUGUAACCUCACUAUCUCAGACACAUAUAACUCCGCUAACUUUUCAAGCUGAUAAUCUGCUCUGACUGGAAUAAAAUGUGCUGACUUAGUUAACCGAUCAACAAUCACCCAUAUUGAAUGUUUCUUCUUCAGAGUUACUAGUAAUCCAGAUACAAAAUCCAUCGUAACAUGUUCCCAUUUCCAAUCUGGAAUCAUAAUGGGCUGUAACAACCCUGUCGGCACUUGAUGCUCAGCUUUCACCUGUUGACAGAUCAAACAUCUUGCUACAUACUCAAAGAUUUCCCGUUUCAUUCCGGGCCACCAAUACAUUUUCUUCAAAUCACAAUACAUUUUUGUACUACCCGGGUAAAUAGAACACAUACUACUGUGAGCCUCUGAUAAAAUAUCAUUUUUCAAGUUUAAAUUAUUCGGAAUACAUAUUCUAUUACGAUAAUAUAACAUACCAUUUUCAUCAAUGGAGUAUUCUGAGCUUAACUUAUCUUGAACCAUCUGUCGCUUUAUCAUCAAUUUUGGGUCAUCAUCCUAUAACUCCCGAAUCCGUUGAAAGAACACGGGUUUAGCCUUUAAUUCUGCUAGUACAGAACCAUCCUCAUUAAUAGAUAAAUGAGCAUUCAAUGCCCGUAGUGCAAAUAAUGAUGAUUUCCGACUAAGCGCAUCUGCUGCGGCAUUUGCUUUCCCUGGGUGAUAGUCAAUGACAAGAUCAUAAUCUUUCAGCAACCCCAACCAUCGUCUCUGUGUCAAAUUUAACUCUUUCUGAGUCAUUAAAUACUUCAAGCUUUUAUGAUCAGUAUACACGUAACAUUUCUCACCAUAUAAGUACUCUCCAUAUCUUCAAAGCAAACACGAUCGCUGCCAAUUCCAAAUCAUGUGUAGGAUAAUUCUUGUCGUGCGGUUUCAGUUGCCAAGAAGCAUAUGCCACCACUUUGCCUGACUGAAUAAGUACACAGCCCAACCCAUUUACAGAUGCAUCACUAUAUACUACAAACGGUACACCCGAUUCUGGUUGAGUCAACACUGGAGCCUCUGUCAACAUCUUUUUCAACUGAUCGAAACUCCGCUGACAUUCAUCUAACCAUAUAAAUUCAACAUUCUUUUGUAGCAAUCGAGUUAACGGUAAGGUAAUCAUUGAGAAAUCUUUGACAAAUCGACGAUAAUAACCUGCCAAUCGUAGAAAACUCUGCACUUCAGUCACAUUCUUCGGAACUUUCCAAUUUAUCACUGCCGCUACCUUACUUGGAUCCACUCUUAUUCCAUCAGCUGAUACAAUAUGACCCAAAAAUGCAACUUCAUGGAGCCAAAAUUCACAUUUGCUGAAUUUGGCAUACAAUUGUUUCUCCCACAAAGUCUGUAAUACAAUCAUUAGAUGUUGUGCAUGUUCGGACUCUGUCUUUGAAUAAAUCAAUAUAUCGUCAAUGAACACAACCACAAAUCUAUCCAAAUAUGACUGAAAAAUUCUAUUCAUCAAAUCCAUAAAAGCAGCAGGGGCAUUGGUUAAACCAAAUGGCAUCACCAAAAAUUCAAAAUGACCAUAUCGAGUUCGAAAGGCAGUUUUCGGCACUUCACACUCUUUAACUUUCAACUGAUAAUACUCGGAUCGAAGAUCUAUCAUGGAAAAUACUGUAGCACCUUUCAACUGAUCAAACAAAUCAUCAAUAUGAGGCAAAGGAUUUUUAUUCUUUACUGUUACCUUAUUCAACUGUCUGUAAUCUAUACACAGUCUUAAAAAACCGUCCUUCAUUUUCACAAACAAGACAGGUGUACCCCAGGGCGACAUACUCGGUCUGAUGAACCCUUUAUCUAAUAACUCCUGCAGCUGCGCCUUCCGUUCUUUUAACUCGACUGGAGCCAUUCUGUAUGGUGUCAUUGAGAUAGGAGUUGUUCCGGGGAUCACAUCAAUUACAAAUUCAACUUCUCUAUCAGGUGGUAGACCGGGUAACUCUUCAGGGAACAUAUCAGGGAAUUCAUUCACCAUUGGCACUUGUUCGAGCUUCAAACCAGAACCCUGAGUAUCCAGGAUAUAGGCCAAGAAUGCUUCGUUGCCUUUGUGUAAUAACCUCUGAGCAGAGAGAGCUAAAAUAAUUCUGACUGUAUCACCCAGAUUUUCAGACCCAACUGAGAUUAUAUCUCCCGUUUGACAUUUCAAACUGAUUUGUUUAUCACGAUAAUUCACUACCGCAUCAUGUCUCAUUAACCAGUCCAUCCCCAGAAUAAUGUCAAAUUCCCGAAAAGGUAACAACAUCAAAUCAGCGAGGAAUUCAUAGCCUUUCACUUUCAGUGGACAAUUACGACAUAUCAAAUUAACCAUCACACUUUGACCUAAUGGGUUUGUGACUUGUAUAUCAAAUUCAGUGGACUCAACAGAUAAUUUCUUUUUAGAUGCUAACAUAGUGCAAAUAUAUGAAUGAGUAGAUCCAGGGUCUAUCAAUGCAUAAACAAUAACAUCAUAAAGAUAGAAAGUACCAGCAAUUACAUCAGGAGCCGUAGCCUCUUUCCUUGCUCGAAUGGCGUAGGUACGUGCUGGUGCUCUAUUCUCUGAUCGACCAACUGAUUCCCUCGUACCCGAACGGGUAGUCCCUGUAGCACUGCUCUGGCCCGAACGUCUACUUUUUUGGGGAAUGGUUCUCUGUAUUUCUUUCUGUUCCACUUCAUCUUUUUACAGUCGGGAACAAUCUCGAAUAAGAUGAUUAGUACCCUCACAUUUUUAACAAGCCCCUAUCUUGGUCCUGCAUUCUCUGAAAUGAUAUCUUCCACAAUAUUGACACUUAGGCCGGGGAGCAUUCUGAACACUGCUCACACUUGCUGGAGGUCUAUCGAAUACCCUGAAAUCAGAUUGUCUUGGUCUAUCUCUACCCGAUCUUCUCGACAGUGAUGUAGUUCGACUAAUUUCUUCUCUAGAUUUGUUCACUGGUAAAUCUAAAAAUGACUUAGAAGCACCUCUUUUGAAUGGCUCUUUACUUUUUCGAUCCCGCUACAUUUUUCUGUUGUAUACUUCUUCGAGCUUUUGAGCACGGUCUGACAGAACAGGGAACUCUCGUAUUUCAUUACCCCCAAUCAUCAUUCUAAUUUCAUCAUUUAACCCUUCUUCAAACCUGAUACACAUUUCUUCUUUAAUAAGUACAAUGUCUCGGGCAUAUUUGCUGAGGUAGACAAAUUCUCUUUCGUAUUCAGCCACUGAUUUAUCUCCCUGGCGUAGGUCGAGAAAUUCCCUUUUAUUUUUAUCCAAAUACCGUCUGCCCACAUAUUUCUUCUUAAAUUCAUUUUGGAAAAAUUCCCAAUAAAUUUUCUCUGUCGGAACCACAUCCUCAAUCGUCUCCCACCAACUAUAAGCUUCUUCUUUCAAUAGAGACACAACACAACUCAAAUAAUCAUCUAGUGAGCAAACCAUUUCUUUAAAAAUUCUUAUUAAACUCUGUAACCAAUAUUCAGCUUUGACGGGAUCUUUAUCAGUCCUUCCCCGAAAUUCUUCGGCUCCAAGUUUUUUAAGCCUUUCCAAUGGAGAACGCUUUCUGGAUUCAGUCGUUGUAAAAGGUGGAGGAGCAACCGGGUGUGCCACCGAUGGAGCAGUAGGGGGAGGAGGUGGUUCAGCCUGAUUUCUUUCUUGCCUCAUUUCAGUAUAUCAUUGAUUCAUAAUCCCAUAAAUCAUAUUCUUUAACUCUUGCUCUCGCAUUUGGGAGAUCGGAACAUCACUGCUUGUUCUUUGUUUAGAAUUAUGUAUUCUACUAUUAACUUCUUCUUUCUCAGUACGUUUAGGUAUAUCUGACAUCUCCAUAACCGGAGAAUAUCUACUAUUAACUUCUUCUUACUGGAUUCAGUCGUUGUAAGAGGUGGAGAAGCAACCGGGGGUACCACCGAUGGAGCAGUAGGCAGAGGAGGUGGUUCAGCCUGAUUUCUUUCUUGCCUCAUUUCAGUAUACCACUGAUUCAUAAUCCCAUAAAUCAUAUUCUUUAACUCUUGCUCCCGUAUUUGGGAGAUCAGAACACCACUGCUUGUUCUUUGUUCAGAAUUAUGUAUUCUACUAUUAACUUCUUCUUGCUCAGUACGUUCAGGUAUAUCUGACAUCUCUAUAACCGGAGAAUAUCUAUAAAAAUAACAAAGAUUAGAUCGCAUCAUACGCAUUACACUAUCACAGAUUUAUAUGGCAUGUAUUUCUAAACACUUUACACUUUACACAUAUUCCGAGAACCGGCUAAACCUGGAUCUGAUACCAAUAAAAUGUAACACCCUUUACCUGAGACCGUUUCCAGAGUCGAGCAUGAGGCGUUACUUGACUUAACUUAAAAGUUCAGGGCAUAAAAAAUUACUUUCAAAAUUAAUUUCACCAUUCACAAUAAAGCUGUCCACCCACGCAGCAAUCUCUAAAUUAAUUAUAACUCAAGAUGCGAAACUCGAAAUUUAGAUCUGUAUAUUUUACCUAAAACUAGACUCAUAUAUCUAUUCACUACAAAAUUUUCAGACUUUUUGGUUUGGCAAAUUAGUACAGUUUAUUAAUUGAAGUCUCCCCUGUUUCACUAAUAGACUAUCCUGACCUCUCGUCACUAAAAUUCAAUUAUCUCAUUAUACAAACUUGACUUGGUGCUUUCAAUUAUUUUUACUUAAAAUAGACUCAUUAAGGAAUUUAAACAUAUAAUUUAUAACUCAUAAUUCAUUUUGUACAAUUUUUAAUGAAUUUCUAAAGUCAAAAUAGGGGACUUCAAAAUCAUUCUGACUCUGUCUCACUAAAAUUCAAAUAUCUAAAAGUAUAUAACUCUUUUGCUUACUCUAUUGCUUUAAUGUGAAAGUAGGCUCAUUCAGCUUUAAUUUCAUCUCUCACUCAACUUAUAAUUCUAAGUCCACAUUUUUGGUGAUUUUUCAAAGUUACAUCAAUACUGCUGUCCAAAAACUGUUCCAUUGAAAUUUUUUUAAAAAAUUUCAAUAUAACCCUUUUAUAAUUAUCUAACCUUCCCUGCAAAUUUUAAAUCACAACCAAUUUCAGUAUUUCAACCACUUCACUUAAAUACUAAUGAAGUUCAACCAAUCAACCAUUUCAAACUAAAAACAUGCAUAGUUCAAUGUCUAACACAACCAUCACAUUCAAAUUUACUUUGCAUAUUUAGAUAUUCAUUCUUUUACUUUUUACUUCAAUUCCCUAUACAUGUCAUAUAAAUCCAAAAAGUUGUUUAACAAAAUCUACCGGAGUAAAUCUUGAUAGUGUGAUUCUUGGUGUAGAUCCGAUCCUCUGAAUGUAUAAAUACGUCAAUCUACAAGAAUCAAUAAACGCACAAGUAGGCUUAAUAAACACACAAGUAAGCUUAUAGAAAGCUUAGUAAGUUCAUAGGCACCAAACAUAAAACUUACCAAACAUUUAUACACUUAUACAUUAUACACCAUUACUAAGUUUACCUGUCAACCACAUUCUUUGGUGAGUUCCUUGGUAUAAACUCACUAAUACUUAUUCUUUUACCAUAAUUCCUUUGGGCCCAUUUGUCACUUACCAUCCUUGAUCAAAAUUAAGGAACGGUUACGGAAAAUUGAGUACUUCACUUUCACUUUGCCAUAGUAUAAAUAUGGUCUUACGUAUGAUCACUUAUCACUUGUCCUUGAUCAGGUUAGUGUAGCUAGGCUACCACUUAUCACUUGUUCCUGAUCAGAUAAGUGUAGCUAAGCUAUCACUUGUCACUUUGUCACUUGAUCAAAAGUACUCAAAUCCGGUGUUCCGCUCAAUUUGAUCACUUAUUCAGUUUGCGCAUUUUUAUUUUAUUCUCAUUUCAUCAAUAAAUAUAUAUAUAUAUUUCACCAUACAUUAUAUAAUUCAUGAAAUUAACAUUUAAUCAUUAAAUUUCAUCCAUAUGAACUUACCUAGGUCGAUUUUCUGAAUUUGUAAAAGUUCAAGGACUAAUCAGCUACUUUUUCUUUUCCUCGACUUGUUUCGGGUUCUCGAUAUGAUUCAAAUAUAUGAAAAACUAGCUUGGAGGGACUCUUCAAUGGCGUUUUUUGCUGAGAAAUAUGAUGAAUUGCCUAGAAACUCUUUUAGUUAAGAUUUUUAUUUGUUAACUUUUACAAAAUUUCUAAUUUUGCCCUUAUUACAUCACUUUUUCAGAUUUUUCUUCUCUUAUGCCGUCUCAACUAUUCCAUAUUAGCAUAUUUAUGCCUUAAGUCCCUCCUUAUUUACCACUUAAGCUGUUUAAUCACUUUUAACAAAUUUUACAUUAUUUUCAGUUUAGUCAUUUUUAAUUAAUUAACCACCAAAACGUUAGAAUUUUCUAACGAAACUUUAAUACCAACUCAAUGACACUCUAUAAAUGUUUCUAAAAAUAUUUAUGGCUCGAUUGAUGAGUUUGAGGUUUCGAUACCUCAUUUUCGACUCUAAUUAUUUUAAUAUUUAUUCUUAGUACACUAUUCACUAUUUCAAAAAUUUUCCUAACUUCGCAUUUAACUUAUACUCACUAAAUUAAUAAUAUUUUCUACUCAUUUGUCAAAUUUAAUGAUCUCGAAUUACCAUUCCGACACCACUGAAAAUUCAGGCCAUUACAACUCUCCCCCCAUUUUGGAAAUUUCGUCCCCGAAAUUUCGUACCUGAAAAUAAAUUCGAAUACUGAAAUCUCAUCAAUUCCUCUGUUUCCCAGGUUGCCUCCUCAGAUCCAUGUCGAUUCCAUAACACCUUAACUAGUGGUACAUGUUUAUUCCUCAACUCUUUAACAUCCCAAGCUAAAAUUUUCACCGGUUCCUCUGAAUAAGUCAUGUCAGGUUGAAGCUCUAUUUCCGUAUGAGGAAUUACAUGUGAUGGAUCUGAUUUGUACCGUCUCAACAUAGACACAUGAAACACAUUAUGAAUCUUUGCAAGUUCCGGGGGCAAAGCUAAUCUAUAGGUUACCAGACCGAUUCUUUCAAUGAUUUCAUACGGCCCGAUAAAUCGUGGGCUGAGUUUUCCCUUUUUGCUGAACCGCAAAACUUUCUUCCACGGUGACAGUUUCAAAAAUACACGAUCACCCACAUUAAACUCUCUAUCCCUUCUCUUCAAAUCUGCAUAUGAUUUUUGCUGAUCGGAGGCAGCUUUUAAGCAAUCUCGAAUAAUACGAACUUUUUCUUCAGUUUCCUGAGUCAAUUCCACUUCCACCAGUUUCAAUUCACUUAAUUUAGACCAAUAUAAUGAAGUUCUACACUUUCUUCCAUACAAAGCUUCAAACGGUGCCAUUUUAAUGCUAGUUUGAUAACUAUUAUUAUAAGCAAAUUCGGCUAAAGGUAAAUACCUUUCCCAGCUACCGCCGAACUCAAGUAUACAACACCUUAACAUAUCUUCUAAAAUCUGAAUCACUCGCUCUGACUGCCCAUCUGUCUGGGGAUGAAAAGCUGUGUUGAAAUUUAAUUUGGUGCCUAAAGCUUCCUGUAAUUUACUCUAAAAUCUCGAGGUAAAUCUCGGAUCUCGAUCUGAAAUAAUAGAUGUCGGUACCCCAUGUAACCUCACUAUCUCAGACACAUAUAACUCCGCUAACUUUUCAAGCUGAUAAUCUGCUCUGACUGGAAUAAAAUGUGCUGAUUUAGUUAACCGAUCAACAAUCACCCAUAUCGAAUCUUUCUUCUUCGAAGUUACUGGUAAUCCGGAUACAAAAUCCAUCGCAACAUGUUCCUAUUUCCACUCUGGAAUCAUAAUGGGCUGUAACAACCCUGUCGGCACUUGAUGCUCAGCUUUCACCUGUUGGCAGAUCAAACAUCUUGCUACAUACUCACAGAUUUCCCAUUUAAUUCCGGGCCACCAAUACAUUUUCUUCAAAUCACAAUACAUUUUUGUACUAACCCGGUGAAUAGAACACAUACUACUGUGAGCCUCUGAUAAAAUAUCAUUUUUCAAGUUUAAAUUAUUCGGAAUACAUAUUCUAUUACGAUAAUAUAACAUACCAUUUUCAUCAAUGGAGUAUUCUGAGCUUAACUUAUCUUGAACCAUCUGUCGUUUUAUCAUCAAUUUUGGGUCAUCAUCCUGUAACUCUUGAAUCCAUUGAAAGAACACGGGUUUAGCCUUUAAUUCUGCUAGUACAGAACCAUCCUCAUUAAUAGAUAAAUGAGCAUUCAAUGCCCGUAGUGCAAAUAAUGAUGAUUUCUGACUAAGUGCAUCUGCUGCGGCAUUUGCUUUCCCUGGGUGAUAGUCAAUGACAAGAUAAUAAUCUUUCUGCAACUCUAACCAUCGUCUCUAUCUCAAAUUUAACUCUUUCUGAGUCAUUAAAUACUUUAAGCUUUUAUGAUCAGUAUACACGUAACAUUUCUCACCAUAUAAGUAGUGUCUCCUUAUCUUCAAAGCAAACACGAUCGCUGCCAAUUCAAAAUCAUGUGUAGGAUAAUUCUUGUCGUGCGGUUUCAGUUGCCGAGAAGCAUAUGCCACCACUUUGCCUGACUGAAUAAGUACACAGCCCAACCCAUUUACAGAUGCAUCACUAUAUACUACAAAUGGUACACCCGAUUCUGGUUGAGUCAACAUUGGAGCCUCUGUCAACAUCUUUUUCAACUGAUCAAAACUCCGCUGACAUUUAUCUGACCAUAUAAAUUCAACAUUCUUUUGUAGAAAUCGAGUCAACUGUAAGGUAAUCAUUGAGAAAUCUUUGAUAAAUCGACAAUAAUAACAUGCCAAUCGUAGAAAACUCCACACUUCAAUAACAUUCUUCGGAACUUUCCAAUUUACCAUUGCCGCUACCUUACUUGGAUCGACUCUUAUUCCAUCAGCUGAUACAAUAUGACCCAAAAAUGCAACUUCAUGGAGCCAAAAUUCUCAUUUGCUAAAUUUGGCAUACAAUUGUUUCUCUCACAAAGUCUGUAAUACAAUCCUUAGAUGUUGUGCAUGUUCGGACUCUGUCUUUGAAUAAAUCAAUAUAUCGUCAAUGAACAACCACAAAUCUAUCCAAUUAUGACUGAAAAAUUCUAUUCAUCAAAUCCAUAAAAGCAGCAAGGGCAUUGGUUAAACCAAAUGGCAUCACCAAAAAUUCAUAAUGACCAUAUCGAGUUUGGAAGGCAGUUUUCGGCACAUCACACUCUUUAACUUUCAACUGAUAAUACCCAGAUUGAAGAUCUAUCUUGGAAAAUAUUGCAGCACCUUUCAACUGAUCAAAUAAAUCAUCAAUAUGAGGCAAAGGAUAUUUAUUCUUUACUGUUACCUUAUUCAACUGCCUGUAAUCUAUACACAGUCUUAGAGAACCGUCCUUUUUUUUCACAAACAAGACAGGUGCACCCCAGGGCGACAUACUCAGUCUGAUGAACCAUUUCUCUAAUAACUCCUGUAACUGCGCCUUCAACUCUUUUAACUCGGCUGGAGCCAUUCUGUACGGUGUCAUUGAGAUAGGAGUUGUUCCGGCGAUCACAUCAAUUACAAAUUCAACUUCUUUAUCAGGUGGUAGACCGGGUAACUCUUCAGGGAACACAUUAGGGAAUUCAUUCACUACUGGCACUUGUUUGAGCUUCAAACCAGAACCCUGAGUAUCCAUGAUAUAGGCCAAGAAUGCUUCGUUGCCUUUGCGUAAUAACCUCUGAGCAGGGAGAGCUGAAAUAAUUCUGACUGUAUCACCCAUAUUUUCAGACCCAACUGAGAUUAUAUCUCCCGUUUGACAUUUCAAAUUGAUCUGUUUAUCACGACAAUUCACUACCGCAUCAUGUCUCACUAACCAGACCAUCCCAAGAAUAAUGUCAAAUUCUCGAAAAGGUAACAACAUCAAAUCAGCGGGGAAUUCAUAGCCUUUCACUUUUAAUGGACAAUUACGACAUAUCAAAUUAACCAUCACACUUUGACCUAAUGGGUUUGUGACUUGUAUAUCAAAUUCAAUGGACUUAACAAAUAAUUUCUUUUCAGAUGCUAACAUAGUGCAAAUAUAUGAAUGAGUAGAUCUAGGGUCUAUCAAUGCAUAAACAAUAACAUCAUAAAGAUAGAAAGUACCAACAAUUACAUCAGGAGCCGUAGCCUCUUCCCUUGCUCGAAUGGCGUAGGUACGUGCUGGUGCUCUAUUCUUUGAUCGACCAACUGAUUCCCUCGUACCCGAACGGGUAGUCCCUGUAGCACUGCUCUGGCCCGAAUGUCUACUUCUUUGGGGAAUGGUUCUCUGUAUCUCUUUCUGUUCCACUUCAUCUUUUUACAGUCGGGGACAAUCUCGAAUAAGAUGAUUAGUAGCCCUACAUUUUUAACAAGCCCCCAUCUUGGUCCUGCAUUCUCCGAAAUGAUAUCUUCCACAAUAUUGACACUUAGGCCGGGGAGCAUUCUGAACACCGCUCACACUUGCUGCAGGUCUAUCGAAUACCCUGAAAUCAGAUUGUCUUGGUCUAUCUCUACCCGAUCUUCCCAACAUUAAUGUAGUUCGACUAAUUUCUUCUCUAGAUUUCUUCACUGGCAAAUCUAAAAAUGACUUAGAAGCACCUCUUUUGAAUGGCUCUUUACUUUUUCGAUCCCGCUGCAUUUUUCUGUUGUAUACUUCUUCGAGCUUUUGAGCACGGUCUGACAGAACAACGAACUCUCGUAUUUCAUUACCCCCAAUCAUCAUUCUAAUUUCAUCAUUUAACCCUUCUUCAAACCUGAUACACAUUUCUUCUUUAGUAGGUACAAUGUCUCGGGCAUAUUUGCUGAGGUAAACAAAUUCUCUUUCGUAUUCAGCCACUGAUUUAUUUCCCUGGCGUAGGUCGAGAAAUUCCCUUUUAUUUUUAUCCAAAUACCGUCUGCCCACAUAUUUCUUCUUAAAUUCAUUUUGGAAAAAUUCCCAAUAAAUUUUCUCUGCUGGAACCACAGCCUCAAUCGUCUCCCACCAACUAUAAGCUUCUUCUUUCAAUAGGGACACAGCACAUCUCAAAUAAUCAUCUGGUGAGCAAACCAUUUCUUUAAAAAUUCUUAUCAAACUUUGUAACCAAUAUUCAGCUUUGACGGGAUCUUCAUUAGUCCUUCCUGAAAUUCUUCGGCUCCAAGUUUUUUAAGCUUUUCCAAUAGAGAACGCUUACUAGAUUCAGUCGUUGUAGGAGGUGGAGGAGUAACCGGGGGUACCAUCGAUGGAGCAGUAGGGGGAGGAGGUGGUUCAGCAUGAUUUCUUUCUUGCCUCAUUUCAAUAUACCACUGAUUCAUAAUCUCAUAAAUCAUAUUCUUUAAUUCUUGCUCUCGCAUUUGGGAGAUCGGAACAUCACUGCUUGUUCUUUGUUCAGAAUUAUGUAUUCUACUAUUAACUUAUUCUUACUUAGUUCGUUCAGGUAUAUCUGACAUCUUUAUAACUGGAGAAUAUCUAUAAAAAUAACAAAGAUUAGAUCGGAUCAUACGCAUCACACUAUCACAGAUUUAUAUGGCAUGUAUUUCUAAACACUUUACACUUCACACAUAUUCCGAGAACCGGCUAAACCGGGAUCUGAUACCAAUAAAAUAUAACACCCUUUACCCAAGACCGUUGCCCGAGUCGAGCAUGAGGCGUUACUUGACUUAACUUAAAAGUUCAGGGCAUAAAAAUUUACUUUCAAAAUUAAUUUCACCAUUCACAAUAAAGCUGUCCACCUGCGCAGGAGUCACUAAAUCAAUUAUAACUCAAGCUACGAAACUCAAAAUUUAGAUCCGUAAAUUUUCCCUAAAACUAGACUCAUAUAAAUAUUCACCAUAAAUUUUUAAGAAUUUUUAGUUUAUCCAAUUAGUAUAGUUUAUUAGUUUAAGUCUCCCUUGUUUCACUAAUAGACUACCCUGACCUCUCGUCACUAAAAUUCAAUUAUCUCCUUAUACAGACUUGACAUGGUGCUUCCAAUUAUUUUUACUUAAAAUAUACUCAUUAAGGAAUUUAAAAAUAUAAUUUAUAACUCAUAAUUACUUUUUUACAAUUUUUAUUGAAUUUCUAAAUUCAGAACAGGGGACUUCAAAAUCAUUCUGACCCUGUCUCACUAAAAUUCAAAUAUCUAAAAGUAUAUAACUCUUUUGCUUACUCUAUUGCUUUCAUGUGAAAGUAUACUCAUUCAGAUUUAAUUUCAUAUCUCACUUAACUUAUAAUUCUAUUUCCACUAUUUUUGGUGAUUUUUCACAGUUACAUCAAUGCUGCUGUCCAAAAACUGUUCCAUUGAAAUUUUUAAAAAAAAUUCAAUAUAACCCCUUUAUAAUUAUCUAACCUUCCCUGCAAAUUUCAAAUCACAACCAAUUUCAGUAUUUCACCUACUUCACUUAAAUACUAAUGAAGUUCAACCAAUCAACCAUUUCAAACUAAAAACAUGUAUAGUUCAAUGUCUAACACAACCAUCAUAUUCAAAUUUACUUUGCAUACUUAGUCAUUCAUUCUAUUACUUUUUACUUCAAUUCCCUAUACAUGCCAUAUAAAUCCAAAAAGUUGUUUAACAAAAUCUACCAGAGUAAAUCUAGAUAGUGUGAUUCUUGGUGUAGAUCCGAUCCUCCGAAUGUAUAAAUACGUCAAUCUACAAGAAUCAAUAAACACAUAAUUAAGCUUAUAGAAAGCUUAGUAAGUUCAUAGGCACCAAACAUAAAUCUUACCAAACAUUUAUACACUUAUACAUUAUACACCAUUACUAAGUUUACCUGUCAACCACAAUCUUUGGUGAGUUCCUUGUUAUAAACUCACUACUACUUAUUCUUUUACCAUAAUUCCUUUGGGCCCAUUUGUCACUUACCAUCCUUGAUCAAAAUUAAGGAACGGUUACGGAAAAUUGAGUACUUCACUUUCACUUUGCCAUAGUAUAACUAUGGUCUUACAUAUGAUCACUUAUCACUUGUCCUUGAUAAGAUAAGUGUAGCUAGGCUACCACUUAUCACUUUGUCACUUGAUCAGAUAAUUGUAGCUAAAGCUACCACUUAUCACUUUAUCACCACUUAUCACUUGUUCCUGAUCAGAUAAGUGUAGCUAAAACUACCACUUAUCACUUUGUCACCACUUAUCACUUGUUCCUGAUCAGAUAAGUGUAGCUAAAGCUACCACUUAUCACUUUGUCACUUGAUCAGAUAAGUGUAGCUAAGCUAUCACUUAUCACUUUGUCACUUGAUCAGAAGUACUCAAAUUCGGUGUUCCGCUCAAUUUGAUCAUUUAUUCAGUUUUCACAUUUUUAUUUUAUUCUCAUUUCAUCAAUAAAUAUAUAUAUUUCAGCAUACAUUAUAUAAUUCAUGAAAUUAACAUUUAAUCAUUAAAUUUCAGCCAUAUGAACUUACCUGGGUCGAUUUAUUGAAUUUGUAAAAGUUCAGGGACUAAUCAGCUACUUUUUCUUUUCCUCGACUUGUUUCGGGUUCUCAAUAUGAUUCAAAUAUAUGAAAAACCAGCUUGGAUGGACUCUUCAAUGGCGUUUUUUGCUGAGAAAUAUGAUGAAUUGCCUAGAAACUCUUUUAGUUAAGAUUUUUAUUUGUUAACUUUUACAAAAUUUCCAAUUUUGCCCUUAUUACAUCACUUUUUCAGAUUUUUCUUCUCUUAUGCCGUCUCAACUAUUCCAUAUUAGCAUAUUUAUGCCUUAAGUCCCUCCUUAUUUGCCACUUAAGCUGUUUAAUCACUUUUAACAAAUUUUACAUUAUUUUCAGUUUAGUCCUUUUUAAUUAAUUAACCACCCAAACGUUAGAAUUUUCUAACGAAACUUUAAUAUCAAUUCAAUGACACUCUAUAAAUGUUUCUAAAAAUAUUUAUGGCUCGAUUGAUGAGUUUGAGGUUUCGAUACCUCAUUUUUUAUUCUAAUUAUUUUAAUAUUUAUUCUUAGUAUACUAUUCACUAUUUUAAAAAUUUUCCUAACUUCGCAUUUAACUUAUACUCACUAAAUUAAUAAUAUUUUCUACUCAUUUGUCAGAUUUAGUGAUCUAGAAUUACCAUUCCGACACCACCGAAAAUUCAGGCCAUUACAUUAUGUUUAUUGACUCAUUUUUUCUGUUGACUGAAUUUCAGGUAACUCAUCGACUUAGGCGGGUCGGCAUGGCGAGAGCUCGGUCAUCCUUAUUUAGUAAUUUUCUGUUUAAAUUAAACUUAUGCUAUAGUUGUUUUAUCUUGAAUUACAGAUUGCAAAUUUAUAUUUCUACACUAGUUCAACUAUUUAAACAUUUUCUGACAAUUAAACUUUAAUUAGUUAAAAGUGAGAAUUUCUUAAAUGAUUUGUUGUAGCUUUCCAAGCUUGGUCCUAACAUCUAGGUCGGGUUUGGGGUGUUACAACCCAAAACCCCCAAACUUUCCCCUCAAAACUUUUACUCCCCCACCCUUUCUCUUUCUCGCUCACCCUCCCAAACCCUUUUACUUUUCCCCCAAAACUUUUACUUCCCACUUUUACCCCCAAAUCAAAAAUCAAAAUCCUCCCAAAAAAAUCCUUAAACCUAAAUAGUAAUAAUUUUAUUUAUGGCCACUAUUUAUAUUAUAAAUUAAAUUUCACAUUUUCUAUUAUUUAUAUUAUUAAAUUGUUUAAUCAUUUUGAAUCUUUAUCAAUUUCUGUUAAAACUGUAUCAUUGAUGAUGUCAUACAUUAUUUGUGUUAAAAAUUUCUAUUGGUAUCAAUUUCACAUUUUAUCUUUAAAAUAAAUUUUAUUAAAAAAAUUACUUUUUUACAUUUAAUAUAUUUUUUAAUUUCAAAAUAUAUGGUGACAAGAAUUAGAAGAUAAUUGAAGCAACUAAGCAAGUAAAAAAGCUAACAUGUAUAUAAAAGAUUAAAUAAAUUAUGAAGGGAUGAAAGUUAAUAACACAUUUGAUUACGGUGGACAAAUUUGAUAAUGAUGGGUGACAGUGGCUACAAGGAUCCAAAGUAAUUUUUUCAAUUAACUGGAAACAAAUAUAUUCGAUUCGAUUCGAUAAAAUUUGAAAUCAUUUUAGGAUGAUAAAAUAAGAUUCGUCAACUCGAUUAACUCGAAGUUUUUUCAUUUGAUUCGAUUAGACGCUCACCCCUACAAAGUAUGACCGAUUGGUCUGAUUCUGAAAAAAAUUGGUUUUGAUCAAUGAAAGAACUUUUACGAUGGCGACAGGUCUAACAAACAGGUGAUAUUUUGAAAAGAAAAUUAAUCUCCAUAGUCUCAACCUUAGGAGGGUGAAUUUUGAGCAUUGCAUUUGUUGUCAUUGUUAGACAUUAUAAAGGAAGAAAAAAGAAAGAAAAAAGUUAAAAUGAGGGAAAUUAUUGAAAAAAAGAGAGAAGAGAAUAAUUAAUUUUUUUUAAAAUUUUACAUGUCAAUCUAUUAUUGAUUAGAUUUUUUUAAUGAGUGUAACAUUUUGGUGUUAAAUGGAUAAUAAAAAAAUAUUUUAAGUAUCAUUUAUGAUAAAAAUAUUUAGGUAUCAAUUUGAAAAAAAUAUGUAGCUUAGAUACUAAUUGAUGGGUUAAUUUUUUUAGCUUAAUAAUUUGAUUAAACCGAAAUACCAACUGAAAAAAAGUUUACUCGCCGCUUAUGAAAAAAAAUAAGUAUGAAUUUGUAAGUUAAAUCUCCCUAAAAGAAAAAAUAUAUCACAUUCAAUACGGGGUGAAUGAAGCAAUGAAUGCAAUGGGGUAUUACAACCAGCCACAUGUCAUUCAAUUCAUGUUAUAUCUACCUUGUUGGCCCCACAGGCGGUCUUUUCCAUUAUUUUCGAAGUGAACGACAUGAGUCGGACCUAUAUCGGCCCCAACAAACAACCUCAACCACUUGUUUUGUUAGGUUGUUGACUAAUUUGAAUAUGUCGGCUCAAAGCUUUUUGAAAAUUAAAUUAUUUUUUAUAUUAAUAUCAUAUAGGUAUAAAAAUUUAACGUUUUGUAAAAAAAAUAAAUUUAGUGUUAAAUUUAAAUAAUUAUAAAAAAUUAUACAAAAUACAAAGACAACUUAGAGUCAAUAAAAAAAAUAUGGAAAAUCAAUUCAUACAUGAAAUGGCAUAAAAAUAUUAUGAACACUAUACAAAUAUAUGAAUGUUUUUAUAUCUAUAUAAAAUAAGUUAUUAACGCUUAAAUUUCAACCAAUUAAAUAUUAAUUUAACUAUAAACUAUAAAAAAUUAAAAUUUCAUUUACCCUAAACAAUUAUUCUAAUUUCGCCCCUGUAUAAAAUAGUUGUAAUAUUAAAAAAAAAGUUAUACGAAUAUGGAGUGUUAAAAAAAAAGGCUUUCAACUUUUAAUAUUCCAAACAAAUAAAAGAAAUAAUAAUAACAGUUUACAAGUGCAAUAAAAGUAAUACAUAUUUGAUGAAUUAAAAAUAGAAUAAAUAUAACUAACUAUAACAGAAAUAUAUUUAGAUUUAAACCAAAUUUUUUUGAAGAUGAAAUUUGAACUCACAAAUAAUAUUUAUAAAUGAUGAUAUGUUUUAGAACAUGUAUAUUUUAAUUUCAUUUGAUAUUUAAAUUAAAUGAAUGAAAUGAGUAUAUUAGCAUAAAUAUAUUGAAUUUCUAGAUUUAUUAAAAAUCCAACUAAAUAGAGUAGAUCCAUAAAUUUAAAAAAUGAUUAUGGAUUUUGAAAUAUAAAUCUAAAAUUUAAAAUCUGAAACCCUCCUAAAUGUUUUCCAAAGUAAGGCGGGGAUAAAUGGUAUAGGGAAGACGGUGGGUAGAUAGAUGUACGGUUUAUUUAUAACUUCGUUUUUAUUAGUCGGCUUACAGUUUCAUAAAAAGCAUCCGUGCAAGGCAUGUUCAAAUGCUGCACUAGCAUACCACUACUAUAAAAAAAACACAUACAAGAGCACCACAAAUUUAUCCCAAAAUACAUUAAAUAAAUGACUCCUAAGGGUGCCAGAUUUAACUAGUGUGUCUGGGAUUGUAUUAGCCUCUCUGAGGCCAUGUGAAAAAAUUUAAUGUUAUUGUUAUAUUUCCAUCUCGAUACGUUGCAAGACAUGAAGCAAUCUGUAAACAACUCUCUUUUGGAAGCAGUUUGCAUACGACUCUUCGCUAAGAACCAUUUGUUGUGAUCUUUCGCUUAGGAUUGCUCACAAAUGACCCCCAUGCACCCUAUCUCUCUCCCUCCUUAACUCAUCAUCUUGAACUCUCAUCCUAUUAUAGGUGAAUCGAGACUCUUCUCCUCCACCCUUUCCUCGUUGGUUACUUGUAGCAAAAAAAAUUAAUUUCACCGAAAAUGUUGGAGAGAUCCCAUGGUCUAAGUGUGUUGUUAGAGCAAAGCUCGAUGGCAAAUUUGGAGUCAAAUUUUAGAAUCAACCCUUUAAAAUCCAUUACACCGUAAAGGAAAAUUUUUACAAUUACAUUAACAAUAAAUAUUCAAAAUUUACUCAUCUAUCUAUACUUAUAUUAAGCCUUAUUUGAGUUGGAGUCAAGAGUCAACUAGGUACUAACUCAGUUGAGAAUUUACUAAAUAAUUUUAAUAUAAAGUAAAAAAAAUAUUAAUACGAGGGUGUUUUUAUCUUUUCAUAUUUUUAAAUAAAAAUACUAUAAUAAGAUUUAAACUUAAGUUUAAAAUUUCAAUCAAAACAUCACUUAAAUUUAAAAUAACAUUUUUAUAUAAAAUGUGUUUAGAUUCUAAGAUAAUGAAAUUUAUGAUGAGGUAUUCAAAAUGUGUUUGAAUAUGCUAAUGAGAUAUUCAAAUUGGUAUGCACAUUCCUAAUCAGGGAGCAUUAAUGAUAAUUUAGUAAAAUAAAUUAUCUCAUUAGCAUAUAGUUUAUUAUAAAAUUAUUGUGUAAAAUAAACAAUUCACAAACUUAAGAAUUUAUAACACAAAAAUUAUACAUCAAUGUUGUUAGAAUUGUAUUAUAUCCAUCGGUUGAAUUUAAAUUUAAAAAUUUAAUCAGCGAUAAUAAUUAAAAUCGUUUCAAACUAGUAAAAUAUUGAAAAUUAAGAACUAAUAAAAUAGAUUCUAAUUAUUUUUAUUUAAAAAAUGUUACCUUCUUAUUCAGGUUACAUUAAGACAAACCCAUCUUAAUUAUAAGUAUCAUAUUGUGAAUGGUAAACUUCUUACACAACAUCCACCAUUUGUCCAAAUAUGUUAAAUUAGGUGCAACAUAGAAAUUUUAUUGUAAGGAGUGAAUCUCAUUGUUUUUAUUUUCAUCAAACAUACGUCUAACUUUAUUAUUACGGGAUUAGAACUUAAAUUUGAUAAAUUGUGUGGUUUUAGGUGAUUUCUUUUCGUUAAAUUUAUCUAAAUCAACCUAACACUCGAAAAGUGAGAAUUCUCCUAAAAAUUCUUUAUGUUAGCAAAAAAUAUAGUGGAAGUAACUUGAAACGAAAGAGCAAUGAGAGAAUUGAAAAGACACAAGAAAAUAAUGCAUACAAGGUGUUUGAGUAAAUGCUCUCAAUAAAUUCUUUAACUCAAGAAGGAAUGAAGUACAACCAGUAUCUAGCCCCCCUAAAAUAGAAAAUUUUCCAUUUAUAUACCUUUAUAAUUUAUAAAAUUUAAAAUUUUACUUUCCCAUAAAAUGAUAAAAAAUUGAUUUAUUUCUUUAAAAAUUAUAAAGAUGACUAUUAAAAUAGUAAAAUUGUAUUUUUAUUAUUGUAAAAAUAUACAAUUUAAUUCUGUCUCCCAAAUUUUUUUUUUUUGGUUUCAUCCCUAAGUACAAUGAUCGUUGUAGCAGGAUACAUAGGCAUUCUAGCACAGAAUGCAAAUAUGUUGCCAAUUAACUUCGAGUCAUGGCAUAAAGUGCCCGAGAGUAACAAGAACCAAGCUCUCGAUAACAUUAAGGUAACAAAAUGUGUAUAUCAUUUAUAAUACUUGAGUUUAAGUUUCGUUUACAUUUACUUUCUGAAGUUGUGUUUUUUGUAGGGGAGAUUUGCUCUAGAGGUCUCCGAUGCUUAUGUAAAGAAGGCAUUGGGAAAAAGAUGGAGAGACCAUAAGAGCACUUUAAAGAAAGACUAUUUUAAGACAAAAACAACACUCGACGAGAGAUUACAAAAUGUCACGCCGGGAAUGCUGAGGUACCAGUGGGAAGAAGUCGUUAGAUUUUGGACUUCGAAGAAAGGAGAGGUAUGUGUUACUACAAAAAUCUUGUAAUUAUUUUGGUUUAUAGUAUUUACUAAUUAACGUACUAAUAAUUUCAUAACGUAGGAUCGUGAACGAGUUGGAACAAGUAGUAGGCAGAAACAAAAAUUCACGCACACAGCUGGGUCGAGAAGUUUUGCGUGUGUAGCUCAGGCCGAGGUAUUUUGAAUUUUUUAAUACUGGCAGAUAUUUAUUACUUUCUAUCAAAUAAUAUUUUUACUAUUGUAUUGUAGGAAGUGUUGUCGGGUCAAAAAGUUGGACGCCUUCAACUUUUUGACAUUACACAUAGGAAGAAAGAUGGAAACCCUAUGACUCCUGAAGCUGCAGAAAUUAUGGUACGUUUGCUUAAUACAAUUUGACUUGUUUUAAUUAUUUAUGCUGUUUAUUUUCUAAUGUUUUUUAUUACAUUUCUUGUAAUGCAAAUAUUGUUAAGUUAUGUUGCAUUUGUUUUGUUAAUAUAUGUUGCGUUCUUAACUAUGUGAUUUAUUUUUUAGGAAAAACUGAAGGAUAAAAAGGCGGAGUACGAAGCGAUUGCUUCCAGUGAUAGUUCUGUUCAUAUUGACGACAUUGAUAACCGGAUUAUCACUGAAGUUUUGGGUCCUGAAAGGUAUGGUCGGGUUCGAUUUCAAGGAUCUUUUGUUAACCCAUCCCAAUAUUUUGGAUCCAGCUCGCAACAAUACAUGCAUUCGGGGAGUCAGGCUCAAGCUGAAGUUCAGAGGUUAAGAGACCAGAUAGCUCAGAUGCAAGCGGCAACGAGUGAGCAAAUUACACAACUUAAAGCGGAGGCAACAUCGAGAGAAGCUGAGGUUCAAAAAAGAUAUGAAGAACUCCAGCUACAACUUAAAGCAGAUGCGGCAGCGAGAGAAGCAGAGGUAGCAGCGAGAGAAGCUGAGGUUCAACGAAAGUAUGAGCAACUGCAGCAGCAGCUUAAAGAAGAUGCGGCAACGAGAGAAGCAGCGGCUGCAGCGAGGGAAGUAGAGGCUGCAGUGAGGGAAUCAGAACAGCAUAAAAAGUUCGAUGAACUCCAGCAGCAGCUUCAGAAUAUGAUGAAGAUGUUUCAGCAGUCGCAACCGCCGUCAUCUUAGACUAUCGUUUAAAUAUACUUCAAUUUUGACUUUGGUAUUAUUAUUUUAACUUUUACAAUUUCUGUCAGAAUAAUACGAAUUUUAUUUUAUUUAUUGACAUUUAUUUUAAAUAUUAUAUAGAUUUGGUUAGAUUUGGUUGGUUGGAUUUGGUUUCUUCUGAUUUGUUUUUAUAGGAGGGGGCUGAAAUUUUUUUUUUCAAAUCUGCAAAAAUUAGCGGCGUUUUUUUGGAUAAGCGCCGCUAAAGACCAUCGUCUAUAGUGGAAUUUUUUGGCUAAGCGCCGCUAAAGACCAUGGUCUAUAGUGGCAUUUUUCGGCUAAGCACCGCUAAAGACCAUGGUCUAUAGUGGCGUUUUUUGUCUAAGCGCCGCUAAAGACCAUGGUGUAUAGUGGCAUUUUAUGGCUAAGCGCCGCUAAAGACCAUGGUGUAUAGUGGCGUUUUUUGGCUAAGCGCCGCUAAAGACCAUGGUCUAUAGUGGCGUUUUUUGUCUAAGCCCCGCUGAAAACCAUGGUCUAUAGUGGCGUUUUUUGGCUAAGCGUCGCUAAAGACCAUGGUCUAUAGUGGCGUUUUGUGGCUAAGCGCCGCUAAAGACCAUGAUCUAUAGUGGCAUUUUUCGGCUAAGCGCCGCUAAAGACCAUGGUCUAUAGUGGUGUUUUUUAGGCUAAGCGCCGCUAAAGACCAUGGUCUAUAGCGGCGUUGCAAAGAAAACGCCGCUAAAGACCAUGGUCUAUAGUGGCGUUUUUUAGGCUAAGCGCCGCUAAAGACCAUGGUCUAUAGCGGCGUUGCAAAGAAAAUGCUGCGAAAGGUCUUGAUCUUUAGCGGUGUUUAUUAUAAAAAGCGCCGCUAAAGUUACCGACGCUGUCAUUAGCGGCGAUCCUUGCGGCGCUUCGUAAAGCGCCGCUAAAAGUAUUUGCGGCGCUAAAAAAUGCCGCUAUAGACCUAAAAAAGCGCCGCUAAAACCCUGUUUUGGUGUAGUGUGAGAUGAUUACAAAUGAAGGGGGAGAUCUCUAUUUAUAGUUGAGCUCCCCUAGAUCCAAUAGUAUAGAUUGAAUUACAUCAACGAUUGAGAUUAGUACUUAUCUACAAGAUGAGUCUUAAGGAUUUUAAACUCUAUACAUCUUUAUCCCUUAGGAUUUACAUUAAUUACUCUGGUAACUCUAGUUUUACUGGAGAGUUUCACUGAACCACCAAAGGUUUAAGUAGAUGAGCUUCUCCAUAUGUUCCACGAGUUGGACAAGUUCAAGCGGAUCAAAUGAGCCCAAUUUAAUUAGUUAAUCUCAAUAAAACGUUCUAUGCACAAUGAUCAUGAACUUUGAUCCACAUCUCAAAAUGAUCAGAUGAAUAAUCUCUCUUAAUUAUAUUUUUAUAAAACUUGAUAUUUUCAUUUAAAAAGAAACACAAUCACAUAUAAUAAUGUCUCCAAAAGAGUCGUCCACUUCAAAGAUUUAAAGUAAUGUAAGAAUGAACCCAACAUUUUUCAAUUAAAAAUAUGUCGAUAGAUAUAGCAAGUUGUAUAACCUUUCAAUUACAAAACAGAUUUCAAUGGGGAUUGCAUCCGGUACAUGCAACUAAAGAACAGAACCGGUGCAUAAAUUGAUUUAAUUAAACUUUGGGUUGAGUAAUCAUGAUUUUCAUUAUUAUUAGACUACGUGAAUGUUGAUAUAAAAUGCUUGAGAGAAGGGUAUAGAAGAAACACAAAAUAAUGAGUGAUAUUAAUUUGUAGAUAAAGAUAAUAUUACAUAGUCGCAAAAAGCGACCUAGUACACAACGCACAACUCUAAAUUAGGAUAACUCCUCUGCUAUCCCUAUGGAUGGAUUUUAACAUCCAUAUUUAUUCUGUAGCUAUCGUUAUUUUGGCUUCCACUAGCUGGUGAACUUUCCAUGCCAAAACUUCACUUAACCCUGCAAAUGAAACAACAAAAAACACAACAUUAAAUGUUGAGCAAUUAAUAAGCAUAAGCAAUGAAACAACUCAUACGAACCUGCUGCAGUCAGUGCUAGGGCUGAUCUUGUAAGGGAUGUUGACACCGCACUUGCCUGGGAGUCCGCUUGCAAUACCAUAGUUGAUGCCAGGAAUGCCGGCGGCCGCACUUUUGAUGCAUUUGCAAGCUGCUUGCCGGUCUGGUGUUGUUUGGGCGGCGGAGUUGAGAGAUUUGAUGCCGCUGCAGCAACCUUGGGGAACGGCACCAGCACCAUUCCCUCUCAAGUAAUUAAUGCAGGGUGCGAGGGAGCCUGUGACUUGACCACAGGUUACGGUCCCUUGAGCCAGGGGUGCACCCACCACCAUGCACAACACCACCACACAUGCAAGCUUAAGGGACAUUGAGCUAGCCAUAUCGAUUAAUUACAAGAAAAACAAACUUGUAAGGAAAAUGCUUGCUUGGAGUAGUAGUAGUAUUGCUGAUUGUUGCGUGGUUAGGGCCCGAGGGUAGGAGGGUUUUUAUAGCCAAAAGUUUUGUGAAGGGAUAUGGAACGAACUGAGAAACACGUACGAAUAGAAUAUGGUUAGGCGUUGGUAGUUGUCCCAAUUCAAUGCCAAGGUUUCUUUUUUUCUUUUUCAUGUUUCAGCUUAUGGUUGAGUGUGUUUAAUGCUUUGAAAAAGGUUUGUAUCUACCACUUUCAUCUUCAUCACUAAUGCUGAAUUACUCCGUUGAUUAAUGCAUCAUAUUAGCCUUGUCCUAGUGUUACCGGUUUUCUGAUAUUAGUAGCUUUACCAAUAAAAGAUGCUAUCAAAUAUAGUUUUCAGGAUGAUAUUAAAAAUUAAGGUUUUUUAGUUACAAAUAAAAUUGUCACAUUAUCAAAUUUUAAAGAUAUGAAAUUAUUAUUAUAAACUCAUCUAUAGAGAAAUUAUUUUAUGAGCCCUUUCCACCACAUUAUUCACAGUCCAUUUUCAAUUAUUUAAUAAUAUUUCAACAAUAUUUUUCAUGUCAUUGACACAUAAUUUUAAUAAAUUUUUUACCCUGAACCUUGAGUCUAGAAUCCCAAACCCUAAAUAAAAAACUUAAAACCCCAAACUAUAACCCCAAACACUUGCAUCAUAAACUCGAACCGCGAACCUCAAACUCAUAAUCUGUAACCUUGAACCCAAACUUGUAAUCUCGAACCCUUGAACCCUUGAACCCUGAACCUAAACCUUGAACCCUGAACUCAAAGCCCAAAACCAAAACUGAACCCUGAACCUUAAAUCUCAAACCCAAACCUUAAACCUCGAGGUUUGGGUUCAAGGUUCAAGGUUCAGGGUUUGAGUUCAAGGUUCGAGGUUUAGGAUAAAAUAAUUACCAAAAUUUGUAACAGAAUAAAAGAGUUCGUUUAUAAUUUAAAAAGCAAUUAUUUUAAGUAAUUUAAUUAAAGUGAAAUUAAGUUAGAGAAAAUAUUAGAUAUAGAUGAGUGUAUAAUAAUACUUUAUUGUCUUUAAAAUUUAAUGACGUGGUACUAUUUUAUUGGUGCCUCAAACUAUACUUUUUAGAAUAAUCCUAAUACAAUUUAUUCCCAUAUUAAAUACGUAUGCUUUCUAUAUUUUUUCGAAAAAAUAAAUUUUAUUCAUAAACUUUCUAUAUAUAAAUAUAUGUUUUAUUUAAAAUUUAUAAAUACAGAAAAAUUAAAAUAUAAAUAUAUGUCAAAGUAGCUAUUAAGUGUAGAAUUAAACAAUUAUAACAUAUAAAUAGAUUAAAAAUUAGGACAAAAAAUCAAUCUAUUACAUAAAAUAUAAAUUAUGAAUGAAAACAAUCUAAAUUAUAGUCUGGCUAAUCAAACUAAAACUUACAUAUAACCAUAUGACUUUAAGGGUCUUGAAUAUGGUUACUUAAAAGCUUAUAGUUCAGCUUUUACCCACUACGUCAAGGCUUCAUUUACGUUUUUUUUAACCAUAUAUUUUUCAUAUAAUUAUAUAUAUAUAUUUUGCAUAAAAAAUCCCCAAGACGUUAAUUACUUCUAUAUAAUGUAGCGAUUAAGUCCUCAAACAAAAAUUGCUCAACAUCAAUGCAUGUAUAGAUCAAUUUUAUAUAUCAAAGACCAAUACUAUCUUUUUCUUAAAAAAAAAAAAAAACCAAUAUGUUGUGAUUGCUUAGCUAUUGUUCCUAAGUCUUCCUGAAAAAGGUUUCACAGCGAGAGGAGAAAAAAAAAAGUUGAACUUGUCUUGGUUUGCCCCAUAAUGAUUGAAGCAUAGACAAGAUUAUAAAUGUUAAUUUAGUAUACGACAUAAUAAUAUAAUAUAAUAUAUUUAAAUGUAUAUCUCCUCACCUCCUAGACGCUGUCAGUUAUUUUAUUUUUUGGGAUUCUUUUAACAAAAGGUUGAGCUUUUUAUUAGGUUUUAUUUGAUUUUUCAUUUAUUAAUAUAAUUUUUUUAUUUUUAUAUAUUUUAGUUAUUAUUAAUUUUUGUUGGAAAUUUGUACGGUCUUGUUCUAACAACAAUUACAACAAGCUUUUUGGAACAAUCAAAAGUUUUGGGUGUUGGCAUGUUUGACUUUUAAUGGCUUAUGUUUUAAUAUUAGUUAACAACAAAUGAUAAGAGAAUUUCAUGGUAAAUUAGAAUAUAAUUAUCAUCCAUUUGAUUAGUCUUGAAGAGGAAGGAGAGGAGUUUUAACUUUGGUGGACACCCAUCCUUAUCCUUGUCUUUUAGAGUGUUUGAAGCUAUUGGAGAACUUGGUUUUAAAGAUUUUAUUUGAUAAAUAUUCAAAAUAAUUAAUUUGAUAAUUUCAACUUUUAAAGGAGAGUUUAAAACUUAUCAAAAUAUUAUUUGAUAAACACUUGUAGAGGCGUAUAAAUAGGCAACAGUGUGGUGUAACUUUGUUUGUUGUUUUGGAGUGUCUUAAACUUUUAUUUUUUUGCUAUUCCAUUGGGUAACUUUAUGACACUCUCUUUUUAGGUAUUAUUUGGAGAUGUUUAGUAAUUGUAUUGUGAGGAAUUUGAGUGAGUGAUUGCAUUGAAGAAAUGCGACCUAAAUGUAUAUGUUAAACUCUUAUCUAGGACAUAAAUUCCAUGAACAAGGUACCCAUGUUAAUAACAUGUCACCACUUCGCAUCUUUAUGGUAUUGACCCUAUGUAGUUAGACCCUAUAUGACGUAAACAACACUUAUAGUGUGCACGAUAUCGUAGGCUUGAACGUUGAUUGAAUGCAACCUAUAUUUUGGUGCCUUUGUCGGAAAUGAUGUAUGCAUCGGGUUGCGGUACAAAUGCCUUCUCAGGUUAGUUAAGAAGAAAUCCCAUUCAUCAUUGGAUUCUUCAGGAGUUAUUACAAAAGCUAUUGGCAGGAUUUUUAGGUUACCAUCUUAUGCAACAACUACUAACAACCGAUGGUCGCAUAUUCUAUACAGGAAUGUGCCGUUAAUUUGGAAAAGUGGCUUACAGUACCAAAAUGUAGUUCUGCAUUGCUUAAAAGUCCAAAAGCAACGGUGGAAAACUCCUUUUCCAGGGACCAAGCAAUCGUCAUAAUACGCAGGCUCCAUUUUUAACUUGGUUACAGAACCUAGUAUGUACCACUCUAGUAUCUAACACCAUUGCCACAAUUUAUAGUAGGAUUUCUCCCACCCUCUAUUCAUUUUCUCCAAUGCCUUCUAUUUUUGCAACUAUGUCUUAUGCUAGGACAUGGUGUAAUCGGAUUCUCUACAGAUGUGUGCGAUCAAAAUUGGGACCAGAAUCGUAGGACUUGCUUUUGCCAUGGGUAAUAGAAUUUUAGAUAUCAUGUCUAAAUCUAAUUUUGGAUGAUCAUUCGAUAUGCUUGAAAAACAAGAAAUCAAGUCACUAUGUGUAAUAGAAUGUAAAAAAAGGCUAGGAUUCGAGUCGAUGUUGUUAGCCAUAUUACAUACCAGCUACAACACAUGUAUGUGGCACGAUAAAUUUCCUACGUUUAAAAUGCCAACUUCUUCGUCAUAAAUGCCAUGAUUUUCCAUAGACAUCUUGUUGCACGCAUUGUGCGCAUCGCCUUAUAUUUCUCGGAUUGAGAGCAUGUAAUAGUGAAGUUGACACCAAGUUGUAUGCUAUACUACUUGAUUGUAGCUACAAAAGCAUAUUUGGAGUCAAAUUCCAUCCCAACCUCUAAGUGGUCGAAAUUUGUUGAUGAAGUCGCAUACCUUAGUCUUCUACGGGGGAGGUCUGGGAAUUCUAAAACCACUUUCACUAGUAAGACUGAGAGUACGCAUAUGGGGUGGGGGUUUGUAUUUCGUGAAACUUAGGUCAUCCCCUCGAGCGAUGUCUAAAGCUUGACCAUUAGAUCCAUCGUCUUCUAGUUCAGUAGGAAUGGGAUCUAGUUCUAAAAUUACUACAAUUUCGCACCAUCCAGUCCAACCACCUCUCCUGGGUCAUUAUCUGAUUUAGACCCCUCUUUGACCACUUUGUUCUCUUGUCCCUCUUUGUUAUCAACCCUGGUUGUAAGUCCAGGGUUGGAUGUACCCUCUCUGGUCAAAGUUGUCAAGAGUAGAUCAUUCAUUCUUGUAAAUCCGAUGUCAAUCCCAAAAUCAAUUCUGUUUGGCCUACCCAGUAACUUGAUGGUGUACCAUAUGAGUGUUAUCGAGGUUGAACAUAGGUGUGUCAAAGUUGAAACCAAAGGCACUGAUAGAAUGUUGUGCGGCUGUGUUGUAGGCCUGGUGACCGAAUACGUCUAACUAUCCCCCGAAGUUGAAAUCGAGGGAUGAAAUCGAUGAAUGCCUCACCAUUGAUGAUGUUAAUAAUGUGUCUUUGUAUAAGCUUUGUAGAAAUGAUCUGAAUCCACAACAAAACCGUGUGGCCAGACUUUUUGCUUCUUGAUUUGGCUAGAAAUUUGGCGGACACGGUAUAAUCGAGCUUGGGCCACCUUUUUCCUCUUCAGCAAAGACUGUAUAUUCUCACUAGAGUAAUGAGUUUCGAUCACUGUCUUCAAACCGUUGUCCCCUGUGAUCUGAAAAAUGGAAUAUCUAACGGGGUUAAAUGAUGUUAGAUAUCUACAUUUCAGGCUCAAAAUUCUUCUUCAGAUCCCUACUUUAUGCCUAAACCUUGUUCAAAGCUCUUUUAACGUUAUGCUCUAGUUGAAUGUCAGAUCUUUAGAUUGGGUUGAUACAAAAAUGGGCUCAAUUUCAGCCUCACAAUUUUGACCGUUGUAAUGGACAAUAGCUCUGGCUCGUCUCCUCAUCUUGAACCAAAUAUUCUAUUCCACAUGUUUAAAAUCGAGAAAAUUGUAAAAAUAUAGUUCUCAUCACCCAAAUCCCUAAAUUUACACUUACUUUAAUGAAAUACCUUUGCUUCGACAAUAUUGUCAGUAUAAAAUUUUUGUUUUUUACUACAACAUCGAUAACUCCUAAUGCCAACAAUCUGCUUCAAACAUCUGUAUGGAAAAUCCAAGAAUUAUAUUGAGUUUUUUUAUAGAGCCUUUUCCUCGACGCACAUGAAACGAUUCUAGCAACAACACAUGUCAAGGCAUUAGUUGUUUUUGAGGUAUACACUAAAAAUUAAAAUUUGUGGGGGAGAAAACGUUCCCCGCAACGAUGUUUUUCAGCACCUAGACAUAGCAUUGAAAUUUAUCCUAGGAAUCCCGGGUUGUAGGGGCUUAGAGGUUGAAGCAAUCAAGUUGGCUUGGGUAUUGAAAGACCAUAAAGAAAAUGCCUAUUGCAGGAAGCAUUUCCACCUGACUUGGCAAUCAAAAUGCCUCCUGCAGGACGCGUUUUCCAGCCACAUCUCUGAUAUGUUAGUCGAAAACGCAUCUUGCAAGAGGCGUUUGUACUGCCAUGUUAGGUAAAAACACUUCCUGCAGGGAACAUUUUCUUUAUGGCCAUUUCAACACCCAGGCCAACUUAAUUGCUUCUGCCUCUGAGCCCUUACAACACGGGAUUCUCGGGAUAAAAAAAUUUCCCUUUUUACCCCACCCCAUCCCUUAUAUAAAUGCAUGUUCUCAUCCCCUACUCACCCAUAUCUCAGUCUCCUUUAAAUUAUUUUUUUCUUUUUCUUCCGUGUUGAAAUUUUCAAGUUUAAAGAUUUAUUUCUCUCACACUUUGAGGGGGAUGUAAUCAUAGUUUUAAGUUGUGUUUGAGUUCACAAUAAUGUCGUGGCGCUUGAUAACUUACAAAUUUCACUUGUCGUGUGAGUAUGGAGCCAUCACUUGAGAAAUCGAGAUCGCUUUGCAACUCGAGGUCCAAGUUGACGGUGUAAAUAAGGCUUCAAGUUUACAAAGGUUAUGCUAUUAAAAGGAUGGAGCAAAACCGGGACUGUAGUUGAUGAUGGUGAUGCAAGCACAAGAACUAGUUUUUCCUCAUUGGAAGAGCAUACUUUAUAAAAUCCAUAUACAAGUACGAGGGAGAAAAUCACAGGGGUCUUCCAGUAUAAUCAAGUAAUUCAUUUUAUCCUUUUCCAGCAAAGGCAAUGACCCUGUUACUAAAACCUAUUACAUCCCAAUUCUAUCAUAGGUAAUAGUAACGGUGUCACUGUCUUUGGUGGAGAUGGAUAAAAAAAUUUACUUAAUUAUACUGAGAUACCAUUGCAUUUUUCUUCCUCGUACUUGUGUAUGAGUUUUAUAAAGCAUCAUUUUCUAAUGAAAAAAGUUUUUUGUCGUGCCCGCAUAACCAUUGUAAAUUACAGCUCCAAUCAUACUCCGUCCUUUGAUAGCGUAACAUUUUGUAAACUUGAAGCUCUAGUUACACUUCAAUUUCAGACCGUAUAAUCACCCUUAACUGGGACCAUGAGUUGCAAUGCGAUCUGGCUUCUCGGGUGAUGGCUCCAUACUCACAUGACAAAUGAAAUUUGUAGGUCACCUAACUCCACGACACCACCAUAAAUUCAAACAUUCCUUAAAACUAUAACAGUGUCUAUCUCAAACAAGAAUGAAAAUAAAUGUUCAAACUUCUAAUUUCAAAUUGCAAGAAAAAAAAAAGAAAAAAAUAAAUUUUAGCAAAGUAAAAAUGGGUCCUACCGGCACAUUUUCAUUGCCACAUCAAUGAAAAUACACCUCGUACGACACGUUAUUCUUUCUUCGUAAACAAUGUAAAUCAAUAAAUUUAAAAAAAAAUUAUACAUUCUCAAAUAACUCUUUUUUUCAGCAUUUUUGUUAAAUUUAUCCCAUAAUACUGCUACUUCUUGUUUCCUGGGUUAUUUUUAUUACUGCUGGUUGUACCACCCUCCUACUGUGCGCCGGUUAUAGCAACUCACUCAAGAUUCUAAAUACUAAUAUAAACACCAUUUCUUUUAUUCUUAGUUUUUUUAGUGAUUAACGUGGUUUUAAUUAUCGUUAGAUCACGUGGGUGUUUAUAUGAAAUGCUUGAAAUCGUCACGCAGGACAAAAAAAAAAAAGAAAAAGAAAAGGAAAUGAAGAGUAUAUAUAUAGAGGAAACAACUAGUGAGAGUGAUAUUAAUAUUUAGAGUAGGUAAAGAUAGUAUUAUAUAGUCGCAUAUGCGACCUUGUACAUUACCACUAACUCUAAAACUAGGAUAACUCCAACAAUGAAUAGUACCGCUAUGGAUUUUUAACAUUCAUUUUUAUUCUGUCGACAUCACUAUUUCCCUUCCAUUAGCUGAUCCCAACUUCCAUGACCACACUUCACUUAAUGCUGCAAAUGCAACCACACCAAACAAAACAUUCAUAAAUUAAUAAAUCAAUUGCCAUAAGCGAUAAACUUUGGGUCAUUUUCUUUUUCCGUAAUUUCAAAGAAACCUAGUUUAAAUUAGAUACGAACCUUUUGCAGUCAGUGGAAGGGCUGAUCUUGUAAGGGAUGUUGAUACCGCACUUGCCUGGGAGUCCGGCUGCAGUGCUAUAGUUGAUGCCAGAAAUGCCGGUGGCCGCACUUUUGAUGCAGCUGCAAGCUGCUUGCCGGUCUGGUGUUGUUUUGGCGGCAGAGUUGAGAGAUCUGAUGCCGUUGCAGCAAGCUGGGGGAGCAGAACCAGCACCAUUCCCUUUCAAGUAAGCAAUGCAGGGUGCGAGGGCGCUUGUGAUUUGACCACAACUUAUGGCCCCUUGAGCCAGGGGUGCACCCACCACCAUGCAAAACACCACCACACAUGUAAGCUUAAGGGACAUUGAGCUAGCCAUAUCAAUUAGUCACAAGAAAACAAACUUGUAAGGAAAAUGCUCGCUUGGAGUAG